rnacentral:tRNA from 1 species
GAGACAAUAGCUCAGCUAGAUAUAGCAUCAGUUUGCGGAACUGAGGGCCGGAGGUUCGAAUCCUCUUUGUCUCA